rnacentral:rRNA from 1 species
GACGAACGCUGGCGGCGUGCCUAAUACAUGCAAGUAGAACGCUGAAGGAGGAGCUUGCUUCUCCGGAUGAGUUGCGAACGGGUGAGUAACGCGUAGGUAACCUGCCUGGUAGCGGGGGAUAACUAUUGGAAACGAUAGCUAAUACCGCAUAAGAGUAGAUGUUGCAUGACAUUUGCUUAAAAGGUGCAAUUGCAUCACUACAGAUGGACCUGCGUUGUAUUAGCUAGUUGGUGGGGUAACGGCUCACCAAGGCGACGAUACAUAGCCGACCUGAGAGGGUGAUCGGCCACACUGGGACUGAGACACGGCCCAGACUCCUACGGGAGGCAGCAGUAGGGAAUCUUCGGCAAUGGACGGAAGUCUGACCGAGCAACGCCGCGUGAGUGAAGAAGGUUUUCGGAUCGUAAAGCUCUGUUGUAAGAGAAGAACGAGUGUGAGAGUGGAAAGUUCACACUGUGACGGUAUCUUACCAGAAAGGGACGGCUAACUACGUG